rnacentral:piRNA from 1 species
UAAGGACCUACGAGACUUGAGAGA